GCUCAUACCCAACUAAAAUGUCCAGAUACUGAGCAGAAAGAUUUCAGAAGAUUUGUCAAAGGCCGUUUUUAAAUCAAGGUGUGUUAUACCCAUGACAAUCCUGAUAUUCAAAUGAAAUAACCAAGCAUUGGAAAAGAGGUCCAUGUAGUGUAACUGGAAUUCUAGUGAUUUGCUGUUUCCUUAGGCAAAAUCCUUACCUUCUCAAUGUUAUUAUUGCCUCCUAUGAGAAAUGGGCAUAAAGCAUACCAUGUUAUUAGCCUGCCGUGUGGCCAGCACAGUAAUCCAUAUGAAGCAUUUAGCAUAUUUCCUGGCAUAUAGUGUAAGGCUUGAAAAAUGCUAACUAUUCUUAUUAUUGCUUUUAUUUGGCCAGCUAGGAACCCACUCAAUUGGAUUAGUAUCCAAUAAAUUGUGCAUUCAUGCAAUCAGGUCUGUUUCGAUUUUUUAAAUUAGUUUAGCUAGUUCGGUGUUCUAUCGCCAAAAACCAUGGUUGGCUCAGUUUUUAUCAUAUCAACCUUUUUUGUUUACUUGUUUGUUUUGUUUCUUUGCCUGGAAGAGACAAAGACCUGAGUGUGUUUCUUAUGAGCAGAUGCACGUGUUUGUUUAAGCCAGUGGCACAGGGCUGGGAAGAGAACGAGGUAGGUAUGGCCAACAGAGAACCUUGUAAAUACGGGUCAGGCCAAUGCAAAGAAAGUUUGUUGGCUACAUCAUUUGUGUUUCAGUGAUUUGUGAAAACAAAAUGCAGAGCGUUUUCUCCAUCUAUCGGCAGGGUAGUUUAAGCAUAUGGCAAAACAUCCAGCAUUUUUAGCGCAGUUGUAUACAUUAAUAAAAUCUAAACUCUACUGUCAACUGGGGUGUGGCCCCUUACCUCUGUGUGGUUUGAUCGUUUGAGUUUUAUCAUGUGGGUCUUUCUGUUGCUUUAGAUGAAUGCAGGUCUUGAUGUCCUCAUGUGUCCCAGGGGAUGGUUGCAGGUAAUUGUUCAGAUGUUUUGGUCCUCGCCGUGUCAUGGUUCUAGAUUUUUAAAAAUUGUCUUUAUGUUCUUGAUGUUCUUUAAUCCUCAGUGAGUGAGUUAGGUAUGAGUUAGACAUUAUGAUAGCAACUUUCCAAAGAGGUUGACUGAACUAUCCAAGGCCACGCAGCUCAUAAGUGACAAAGCAAGGCCUGUUCCACUUCAACAUCCAUGGUUUUUAGCGUUUUAUUAUACCAGCUUCUCCCUAACAUGCUCCUACCUUUUAGGAGAUCUCGAUGGCCUCUUCAGCUCAUUCAGUGAGCUUGGAGAAUGCUUUAUGGAAGCAGGAGCAGCUUAUAUAUUAUUAAAAAGAAUGAAAGGGCCAUAUUACUUCUUGUUUUAAUCUCUGGGAGAAGAAAAGCCCAAGAAGUUAGAUAUCAAUUAUUCAUAAACAGCCAUUUAAUUACCUUCUUAGACUUUUGAGGUUUGAUCUUCAGUUACUCGAUUCAGAAUUGAUUAAUUAAUAAUUUAAUUAAUUCAGCACAUAUUAAUGAAGCGCUUAUCACUUGCCUGUCAUUGUCCAAAGUGCUGAGGAACUAUGCUGAUUCAAAGGCUUUCUAGAGAGUUGGGUUUUGGUCUAAACGAAGUACUCACUUUCCAGAAAAGUUUGAUUCCAAUCAUCAUUGCGACUUAAGUUCUCACUUGAUUAAAAUGUUCUUUAUCCCUCUAGCACAAUUUAUAUAUGUGUACACCUACCCCAGAACUAGCCAGGCCUCACCUCUUUUAUCCUCUUAGCCCGAUCCUAUGCCUCCUUCAUGGGCCCAGGGCUAUCUUCUCCUUGAAAACUUCCCGACCAUAAGACUCUAGGCUGCAAGUUCCUUUUCUUCUAAACCUCUCUGUAGUGUCUCUAAUACCCUUAAAAGCAUGAGUGUUGGAUUCUCAUAUUUCAAGGGUUCUUAAACUGGGAUGAGCCCAGAGUCAUUCAGGGAAUUUUAUCGAAAUUCUUGUGCCUGGUCUUUAUUUGCUGAUUCAAUAUUUCUGGCACUGGAGCUUGAUUAUGUGUCAUUUGAAAUGACCCUCUGAGUGAUUCUGAAAUCUGAAACAGGCUCAAAAACCACUGUCUGGUAUCGUUGUCAGGAGUUAUUAUGGAGCCCUUCUAUUUUGUAUGCCAAGUAUUACCUCUUCCGUUAGAUUUAAACACCCGGAAAUAUUACAGUUCUUUGUAUUUUCUGAAUUCCUAGUACAGUGCUGAACUGAAUCAUCAGUAAUCACUGAAUAGUCAUCGGUUCAUGGAACUGGUCCUGUUUCCUCUUUUUUCCUAAUGCACUCAGAAAAUCUCAGGAGAGAAUGAUACAGUCCGAUACUAAGUCUGAUGUCCUAGAGACAAACUCCCUGGCCUUGGCCUGUGUGGCAGACGUGAAGAUGAUUCACGCAUUGCUGCUUCUCUUCCUUCCAGAUAUGCUAGAAGGGCAAUUCCCACACCCUUGCAAUUAUUUGUACGACCACGUGACUUGCUUUGUUUAAGACUCAGGAGCAGAAGUGAUGGGUGUCUCUCCCCGGCCAGAGAACUGAAUUACUGGUGUGGUACCCACUCAAGUUCCCCUCCCCUGCCUGGGCAGCCAGUAAUGCUCCAGAUGUGGAGACACCAGGAUGCUGGCUCCCUGAAUAAGGAGAGGUGGAGCAGACCCUCCUCUUAACCAUAUGGAUGUGUAGGAAGAGCAAGAAGUCAAGCUUUGUGGUAACAAGCCACACGAAAUUGUGGAAUUUUUGUUACUAAUAAUCUCUCUUGACUUGACCCAGCAUGGGCCAAAUCCAUAUUAAACUAUUAGUCAUAUACAUUAUGUAAAGCUUUUCAGUAAAAUAAAGAAUCUGAAGAGUUGCACUGUUUCUGGAAAGGAACAGUAAAAACAAAGCCAGACGCUAAGGCCUAGUACAGAAAGUCAGCCAAAGUGGGACUUCCGUUUGUUUAGAUGGCCACUAAGGUUUUUUUUUUCCUCUUAAAAAUCAGUGUUCUGGGAGUUCCCAUUGUAGUCCAGUGGAAACAAACCCGACCAGUAUCCAUGAGAAUGCAGGAUUGAUCCCUGGUCUCGCUCAGUGGGUUAAGGAUCCACCGUUGCCUCAGAUCGGUUGUUGCUGUAGCUCUGUGGCUAGGCCUGCAGCUGCAGCUCCGAUUCUACCUUUAGCCCGGGUGUGGCCUUAAAGAAAAAAAAAAAGUCAAUAUUCUUUUCACUCAGCUGGUAAUUAAUGAGGUGAGAGGAAAUAGCACUUUGAGUCCUCUGAUGUGGAGGAUUGAGAACCCAAGACAGUCAUCUGAUGAGAGCUAGUACCUUGGUCACAUUCUUCAUUAGUCAUUUGGGUUAGAGCCACUAGGAGGGAUGGCUGGUGACAGGAGGGAUGCCACUUUUCAGGAUUUUGAUACUUACUAGAAAGUACCAGGAGGACAGUUCCACUUUACGUGAGCAUCAGUGAUUUGUAACAGGAUGUGUUUCUUUAAACUCUCCCCAGUAGUGUGGUAGUUUAAUAGGUGAGAAUGAUAUCUUGUAAUUUGCAUGUUUUGGCCAGUAGUCAGGUCGUCCAGCACUACUUGUGCUGUUGACCCUUUGGUUCUUCUUUUGUGAAUUGCCUCUUUGAUGGGGAUAUCUUUAAGGAGGUGGCUGUGUUUCUCCAGGUCAGGACACAAGGCUCUCAGUGUCAUCUUCCUGACGCCCCCUGGCAGCCCUGCCAGCAUGUCUGCACGUGGGCUGGCAGAAGGGCAGGGGGAUGCCAGCAAUGCAGCACCUCCUGGAAUUCCUGCCACCCAGCACUGACCUCUGAAUGUCCCUCUCCUUUUGACUCACUGAGUUCCAGGGUGUGAUCAGGUUUCUGGAAUGCCAAGGAAGGUUAGGGAGGAUGUGAGAAUAAGCUCAGGACAUUGGGAGAACCCAGAGUCUUUCACUUUUGAGAGCUGGCCCCUCUUUUAUCUUCCUUUCCCUUUUGCACCUCUCUCCCCUCUGUUUUCUGGUUGCCCUUGUGCAAAAGGCUGGAUGCACUGUAACGAGGCUGCAGCAGCUGAGACUCUGACCCCUGAUUCCCCCUGGGAGCUGCCAGCAGCUUGUUCCUUACACACCACAUGCUCCUCUCAAGGGAGGGCAGGCUCACUCAUGACCUCUCCUGACCUUGUGGAAGAGCACCACUUUCCAAGGAAGCCCUGGUUCUCCCUCCUCCCAAUCUCCCCAUCCCACCUCCACUCAGGCUACUUCUGUUCUGGUUUUCCACUGCACUGGGCUCUGUGUGACCCUUUGUUGCAAUCAUCAUAUCUCUCCCACAGCCCAGGGCCCAUCACCUACAAGGAGAAUGAAGACCCAUGACUUGGCCUAUAAGGUCUUCAAUCAUCUGACCGACCACCUGAUGAAGAGUUUCAGCUAUACUUGGAAGGUCAGAUUGAGGCCAGAUCCUGAUGGACCUUGAAUGCCGGGUUGAGGAGCUUAGAUGGAAUCCUUCAGGUAAGAGGAAAACAUUGCAAGUGAGUGUGUUAUGGCCAGAGGUGUGCCUUAUCAUCCUCUUCUGAUAACACCUGAGCAGAAGCAAGGAGUCUCCUUCCUGCAUUGGUGGCUAACAUGUAGUGUCCUAGGUGGGACACCCCCUUCCUGGGAGGUCUGCUGGAGAGAGGAGCAGGGGGAAUCCUGGCUAAGACGGCUGGGUGAGAGUUUUGUGAUGAGAGAAGAGAAAGCCUUCCUUUUACCUGUUAGGUGGGACUUUGGCUUCUGCAGGGAGGAUGUAAAGAGAGUAUAGCUUUGUGCUGGGACCCCGGGCAAAGUCACUGUGCAGGACUCUUCUGAGCACACACUGGGUGCUGGCUCAACUGUCUUGUCACCCAGUCCUGGGGAGAGGUAACCAGCUCUCUGCUAACAGCUAGAGAAGGUCAGUCUGCUCUUUAGUUCCAGGUGCUGAAAUGCUGGUGGUGUUGCCUGGUUACUCCCCUCAUCCUGGUGAUAAGCACAAGGACAGUGGCCAGAGUGGCAAGAGCAGGGAAGGUGCUUCAGGGCUCCAAAGGGACAUGAAAAAGUUGGCUGGGACCCUGCUGCCAAAUCAGGAGAGAGGACCUGGAGCAGGAGCAGUUCAGCAACUCCCCAGAGGUGGAGCUUAGGUUCAAAAGUAAUGAGAGAGGAGCUCCCAUUGUGGUGCAGUGGAAAUGAAUCUGACUAGCAUCCAUGAGGACAUGGAUUCAAUCCCUGCUCUCUCUCAGUGGGUUAAGGAUUCAUUGUUGCCAUGAGCUGUGGUGUAGGUCACAGACAUGGGUUGGAUCCUGCGUUGCUGUGGCUGUGGUAUAGGCCAGCAACUGUAGCUCGGAUUGAACCCCUACCUGGGGAACUUCCAUAUGCCAUGGGUGUGACCCGAAAAAGCAAAUAAAUAAAUAGAUAAUAUGUUCUUGUACAUCCAUACAAUGGGACAUUGUAGAGUAAUCUAAAAACAAAAAAA
rnacentral:lncRNA from 1 species